rnacentral:rRNA from 1 species
UACGUAGGGUGCAAGCGUUGUCCGGAAUUAUUGGGCUUAAAGCGCGCGCAGGUGGUUCCUUAAGUCUGAUGUGAAAGCCCACGGCUCAACCGUGGAGGGUCAUUGGAAACUGGGGAACUUGAGUGCAGAAGAGGAAAGUGGAAUUCCAAGUGUAGCGGUGAAAUGCGUAGAGAUCCGGAGGAACCCCAGAGGCGAAGGCGGCCCCCUGGCUCGUAACUGACGCUCAGGCACGAAAGCAUGGGGAGCGAACGGG